rnacentral:rRNA from 1 species
CGGAAGGAUCAUUAAUUAUAUAAGGCCACAGGGCAAGCUUUCCGAAAGGAUCGAGCUUGCUGUGUGAACCCUACCUACCCUUGCUUUUUGCGUACCCAUUGUUUCCUCGGCAGGCUUGCCUGCCAGUAGGACCCUCUUAAACCCUUUGUAAUUGCAGUCAGCGUCAGAAACAACGUAAUCGUUACAACUUUCAACAACGGAUCUCUUGGUUCUGGCAUCGAUGAAGAACGCAGCGAAAUGCGAUAAGUAGUGUGAAUUGCAGAAUUCAGUGAAUCAUCGAAUCUUUGAACGCACAUUGCGCCCCUUGGUAUUCCAUGGGGCAUGCCUGUUCGAGCGUCAUUUGUACCCUCCAGCCCUGCUGGGUGUUGGGCGUUUGUUCCGCUGCGCGCGUGAACUCGCCUCAAAUGCAUUGGCAGCCCGCCGUCCCGUGUGGGAGCGCAGCACAUUUUGCGCUCUCCACUGCAGACGGUGGCAUCCACAAGUCUACAUUUUUACGCUUGACCUCGGAUCAGGUAGGGAUACCCCGCUGAACUUAAGCAUAUCAAUAAGCGGAGGAAAAGAAACCAACAGGGAUUGCUCUUAGUAACGGCGAGUGAAGCGGCAACAGCUUCAAAUUUGAAAUCUGGCGCCUUCAGCGUCCGAGUUGUAAUUUGCAGAGGGCGCUUUUGGCGUUGGCAGCGGUCCAAGUUUCUUUGGAACAGUUCGUCACAGAGGGUGAGAAUCCCGUACGUGGGCGCCUG